AAGGUAUUAGGUAGGUGCAAAAGUAAUUGCAGUUUUUGCCAUUACUUUUAAUGGUAAAAACUGCAAUUACUUUUACACCAACCUAAUAUUUA
rnacentral:pre_miRNA from 1 species